rnacentral:rRNA from 1 species
UACGAAGGGUGCAAGCGUUACUCGGAAUUACUGGGCGUAAAGCGUGCGUAGGCGGUUUGUUAAGUCCGCUGUGAAAGCCCUGGGCUCAACCCUGGGAAUUGCAGUGGAUACUGGCAAGCUAGAGUGCGGUAGAGGAUGGUGGAAUUCCCGGUGUAGCGGUGAAAUGCGUAGAGAUCGGGAGGAACACCGAUGGCGAAGGCAGCCCCUGGUCAAGAUUGACGCUCAUGCACGAAGCGUGGGAGCAACAAGG